UGUUACUAAUCAUAAAUUUCGCCUCAUUUACAUUAAUUAGGAUAAAUACAACAUGCAUGAAUUAAGUUUGGAAAUUAAACCAGGUGGACCAGAUGAGAGACCACAAGGCAGAAAUAAACUCAAAUGUAAUUUUGUAAAUAUUACAUUUGGUAUUUGUUUAGGUGUUAUAUUUGCAUAUGUAAUUAUUAAAGUCACCAUGGCUUCACAAAACGAGGAUAAAGGCUGGAUUGAAUCCAUAUUUCAGAUGUAAAUUAAACUUUGGGAAACCUAUAAAAUUUUGAUUUGUUAUACUUUUGGAUGAACAGAAAUUUAACCUGAAUUAAUAAAAUUAUUUGUUUAUA